rnacentral:rRNA from 1 species
UGGGGAAUUUUGGACAAUGGGGGCAACCCUGAUCCAGCAAUGCCGCGUGUGUGAAGAAGGCCUUCGGGUUGUAAAGCACUUUUGUCCGGAAAGAAAACGCCGUGGUUAAUACCCGUGGCGGAUGACGGUACCGGAAGAAUAAGCACCGGCUAACUACGUGCCAGCAGCCGCGGUAAUACGUAGGGUGCAAGCGUUAAUCGGAAUUACUGGGCGUAAAGCGUGCGCAGGCGGUCCGCUAAGACAGAUGUGAAAUCCCCGGGCUUAACCUGGGAACUGCAUUUGUGACUGGCGGGCUAGAGUAUGGCAGAGGGGGGUAGAAUUCCACGUGUAGCAGUGAAAUGCGUAGAGAUGUGGAGGAAUACCGAUGGCGAAGGCAGCCCCCUGGGCCAAUACUGACGCUCAUGCACGAAAGCGUGGGGAGCAAACAGGAUUAGAUACCCUGGUAGUCCACGCCCUAAACGAUGUCAACUAGUUGUNGGUCUUCAUUGACUUGGUAACGUAGCUAACGCGUGAAGUUGACCGCCUGGGGAGUACGGUCGCAAGAUUAAAACUUAAAUGAAUUGACGGGGU